rnacentral:rRNA from 1 species
UACGGGGGGAGCAAGCGUUGUUCGGAUUUACUGGGCGUAAAGGGCGCGUAGGCGGCGUAACAAGUCACUUGUGAAAUCUCCGGGCUUAACCCGGAGCGGCCAAGUGAUACUGCUUUGCUAGAGUGCAGAAGGGGCAAUCGGAACUCUUGGUGUAGCGGUGAAAUGCGUAGAUAUCAAGAGGAACACCUGAGGUGAAGACGGGUUGCUGGGCUGACACUGACGCUGAGGCGCGAAAGCCAGGGGAGCAAACGGG